rnacentral:misc_RNA from 1 species
AAGUAUAUUGAAUUUAUAUUCAUAUCAACCCACUCUGUGUACCUUCUUACCGUUGCUUCCAUGGGACUUGGCUAUGCCACGUCGGCCCUCGGGCUGGUGAGUUCCCAUGGGAGGAAAACAAACUCUUUUUAUUCGUGACGUCUGUCUGAACUGUUUAUUUAAACGUUA